UUGAACGCUGGCGGCAGGCCUAACACAUGCAAGUCGAGCGGAUGAAGGGAGCUUGCUCUUGGAUUCAGCGGCGGCCGGGUGAGUAAUGCCUAGGAAUUUGCCUGGUAGUGGGGGAUAACGUCCGGAAACGGGCGCUAAUACCGCAUACGUCCUGAGGGAGAAAGUGGGGGAUCUUCGGACCUCACGCUAUCAGAUGAGCCUAGGUCGGAUUAGCUAGUUGGUGGGGUAAAGGCCUACCAAGGCGACGAUCCGUAACUGGUCUGAGAGGAUGAUCAGUCACACUGGAACUGAGACACGGUCCAGACUCCUACGGGAGGCAGCAGUGGGGAAUAUUGGACAAUGGGCGAAAGCCUGAUCCAGCCAUGCCGCGUGUGUGAAGAAGGUCUUCGGAUUGUAAAGCACUUUAAGUUGGGAGGAAGGGCAGUAAGUUAAUACCUUGCUGUUUUGACGUUACCAACAGAAUAAGCACCGGCUAACUUCGUG
rnacentral:rRNA from 1 species